rnacentral:rRNA from 1 species
GCUAACUACGUGCCAGCAGCCGCGGUAAUACGUAGGGUGCGAGCGUUAAUCGGAAUUACUGGGCGUAAAGCGUGCGCAGGCGGUUUUGUAAGACAGAUGUGAAAUCCCCGGGCUUAACCUGGGAACUGCGUUUGUGACUGCAAGGCUAGAGUACGGCAGAGGGGGGUGGAAUUCCUGGUGUAGCAGUGAAAUGCGUAGAGAUCAGGAGGAACACCGAUGGCGAAGGCAGCCCCCUGGGCCUGUACUGACGCUCAUGCACGAAAGCGUGGGGAGCAAACAGGAUUAGAUACCCUGGUAGUCCACGCCCUAAACGAUGUCGACUAGUCGUUCGGAGCAGCAAUGCACUGAGUGACGCAGCUAACGCGUGAAGUCGACCGCCUGGGGAGUACGGCCGCAAGGUUAAAACUCAAAGGAAUU